rnacentral:rRNA from 1 species
AUAACCGUUGGAAACGACUGCUAAGACUGGAUAGGAAGAUAAAAGGCAUCUUUUAUCUUUUAAAAGACCUAGUAAUAGGUAUGCUUUAGGAGGGGCUUGCGCCAUAUUAGUUAGUUGGUAGGGUAAUGGCCUACCAAGACGAUGAUGUGUAGCUGGACUGAGAGGUUGAACAGCCACAUUGGGACUGAGACACGGCCCAAACUCCUACGGGAGGCAGCAGUAGGGAAUUUUCGGCAAUGGAGGAAACUCUGACCGAGCAACGCCGCGUGAAUGACGAAGUACUUCGGUAUGUAAAGUUCUUUUAUCAAGGAAGAAAAGCAAAUGGCGAACCAUUUGUUUGCCGGUACUUGAUGAAUAAGCCCCGGCUAAUUAUGUGCCAGCAGCCGCGGUAAGACAUAAGGGGCAAGUGUUAUCCGGAAUUAUUGGGCGUAAAGGGUGCGUAGGCGGUCUAGUAAGUCAGUGGUGUAAUGGCAACGCUUAACGUUGUCCGGCUAUUGAAACUGCUAAACUUGAGUUAGAUAGAGGCGAGUGGAAUUCCAUGUGUAGCGGUAAAAUGCGUAAAUAUAUGGAGGAACACCAGAGGCGUAGGCGGCUCGCUGGGUCUUAACUGACGCUGAGGCACGAAAGCGUGGGGAGCAAACAGGAUUAGAUACCCUGGUAGUCCACGCCGUAAACGAGUGAGUACUAAGUGUCGGGUUAAACCGGUACUGAAGUUAACACAUUAAGUACUCCGCCUGAGUAGUACGUACGCAAGUAUGAAACUUAAAGGAAUUGACGGGACUCCGCACAAGCGGUGGAUCAUGUUGUUUAAUUCGAAGAUACCCGAAAAACCUUACCAGGUCUUGACAUGUUUUUGCAAAAUGAUAGUAAUAUCGUGGAGGUUACCAGAAACACAGGUGGUGCAUGGUUGUCGUCAGCUCGUGUCGUGAGAUGUUAGGUUAAGUCCUAAAACGAGCGAAACCCUUAUCGUUAGUUGCCAGCACGUUAUGGUGGGGACWAUUAACGAGACUGCCAAUGAUAAAUUGGAGGAAGGUGAGGAUCACGUCAAAUCAGCAUGCCCCUUAUGACCUGGGCUACAAACGUGAUACAAUGGCUGUUACAAAGGGUAGCUGAAACGCAAGUUCUUGGCCAAUCCCCAAAAACAGUCCCAGUCCGGAUUGAAGUCUGCAACUCGACUUCAUGAAGUUGGAAUCGCUAGUAAUCGCGAAUCAGCAUGUCGCGGUGAAUACGUUCUCGGGGUUUGUACACACCGCCCGUCAAACCACGAAAGUUGGCAAUACCAA